AGAGUUUGAUCAUGGCUCAGGAUGAACGCUGGCGGUGUGCCUAAUACAUGCAAGUCGAACGGAAUCUUAUUUGUUCUUCGUUCGAACCCUCGGGUCCGGGCAGAAGAACAAUACGAUUUAGUGGCGGACGGGUGAGUAACACGUUGGUACCUACCCCGAAGUGGGGAAUAACUGCCCGAAAGGGUAGCUAAUACCGCACUAUUGUGCGCCUUGUGCGCAUGAAAGCAGUAAUGCGCUUCGGGAGGGGCCUGCGUCCCAUUAGCUAGUUGGUAAGGGUAAAAGCCUACCAAGGCGACGAUGGGUAGCUGGAUCGAGAGGUUGACCAGCCACACUGGGACUGAGAUACGGCCCAGACUCCUACGGGAGGCAGCAGUAAGGAAUCUUCCACAAUGGACGAAAGUCUGAUGGAGCAACACCGCGUGCAGGAUGACGGCCUUAGGGUUGUAAACUGCUUUUAUAGAUGAAGAUUAUGACGGUAAUCUAUGAAUAAGGACCGGCUAACUACGUG
rnacentral:rRNA from 1 species